rnacentral:rRNA from 1 species
UACGGGGGGAGCAAGCGUUGUUCGGAUUUACUGGGCGUAAAGGGCGCGUAGGCGGCCAGCACAAGUCAGUUGUGAAAUCUCCGAGCUUAACUCGGAACGGUCAACUGAUACUGCGCGGCUAGAGUGCGGAAGGGGCAACUGGAAUUCUUGGUGUAGCGGUGAAAUGCGUAGAUAUCAAGAGGAACACCUGCGGCGAAGGCGGGUUGCUGGGCCGACACUGACGCUGAGGCGCGAAAGCUAGGGGAGCGAACGGG